rnacentral:rRNA from 1 species
GACAGAGGGUGCAAACGUUGUUCGGAAUUACUGGGCGUAAAGCGCGUGUAGGCUGUCGUGCAAGUCGGAUGUGAAAGCCCGGGGCUCAACCCCGGAAGGGCAUUCGAAACUGCAUGACUAGAGUCCUGGAGAGGGAGGCGGAAUUCUGGGUGUAGAGGUGAAAUUCGUAGAUAUCCAGAGGAACACCGGUGGCGAAGGCGGCCUCCUGGACAGUGACUGACGCUGAGACGCGAAAGCGUGGGGAGCAAACAGG